rnacentral:rRNA from 1 species
AUGGUGUCCUGGAAGAGAUCGCUGGAGGCGGAGAUGACGGUGAUUGCAGAGGGAGACGAAGGGAAGAUGGAGAAGAUGAGGGAGAUCCUCUCGUGGUUCCCGAAGAGGGAAGAUCUGAAGGCGGCGACGGCGCAAGGAUUUCGGAUGCUCACAGAAGAAGAAGACACCCGCCUGUCUCCAGAUGGUGGGGCGGGGGAGUACGAGGAGGUGCUGGACCGGCUCUCCUCGCUCAUCACGCAAAAGGUGCGCGCGGACACCGGCAACCGCGGCAACCAGUGGGACCUCAUGGGCCGCUACCUCCAGAUUCUGGAGCUGGAGGAGCCCAUCGCGCGGAUGAAGGAAAACGAGUUCAUCUGCGGCAGCUAUCGCUGUGAGCAGUCCGUCCAUGACGCGCUCCGCAGCGUCUUCGCCGGGCACAACGAGAUCCUCAACGUCUGGAGGUAA